GACGAACGCUGGCGGCGUGCUUAACACAUGCAAGUCACGGGGGCCCAGUAGCAAUACUGGGCAACCGGCGAACGGGUGCGUAACACGUGAGCAAUCUGCCGAUCUCUGGGGGAUAGCCGGCCCAACGGCCGGGUAAUACCGCAUACGCUCAUCGGGGGACAUCCCCCUGGUGAGGAAACCUCCGGGGGAGAUCGAGGAGCUCGCGACCUAUCAGCUAGUUGGCGAGGUAAUGGCUCACCAAGGCUACGACGGGUAGCUGGUCUGAGAGGAUGGCCAGCCACAUUGGGACUGCGACACGGCCCAGACUCCUACGGGAGGCUGCAGUCGAAG
rnacentral:rRNA from 1 species